AUCAAACUGCCAAGAACAAUGCUAGAUAUAUCUUAUUAAACUUGACUACUUCAAAAGCUUAGUAGCCACAUCGUCAAAUCCCCACCUCCACUCAGAUUUUGGGUUAAUAAUGGUUUUGGACGAUAAGGUCGUUCGUCAGGUUCAUCCUCUAUGCAUUUCAAGGCUAUGUCUAUAAACACUUGCCAACACUCCGGUGCAAUCUUUCCUUUGAUUUUCAGAUCAAUAUUCUCCUCAAUAAUAGACUUCCCCAUAAGUUCUUGUGACAUUGGAAAAUUUUUUGUUCCCCUUACAACUUGUAGCAGAACAACACCAAAUGCGUAAACAUCACAUUUAUGUGUGACAGUACCGUCCCUUACGUACUCCAGAGGUAAGUGGCUAGGACGACCUAAAUGUGAAAGUAUCAUCAGCCUUGUUCAAUUUAAUUGACAAAAAUCUGUUGCAGUAAGCUCAAUAAAACCGGUAAUUAUUCUGUAGCAGUAUAUAAUUAUAAGAUACUUAUAGAACAAUUACCUAUAAUUUCCGAUUGUAUUGGUUUUGACUGUUCUUUGAAAUGUGCUCCCAUUAAACUAAGGCCGAAACCUGAGAGUUUUGGGUGCAUGUUCUCAUCCAAAAGAAUGGUGGGAGGACUGAUGUUGCGGUGAAUGAUGGUGCGCUUGAGUCCGGCAUGAAGGUAGUGUAUUCCACGCGCUGCUCCUAUGCAAAUCUCUAUCCUUUUUUUCCAUGGCAGUGCUUCCCUAACCUUAUCUCCCAGGUAUCGAUCUAGAGAUCCAUUGGACAUGUAUUCUUGCACAAUGGUCUUCUCUUUUUUGUGGUUGCAAAAUCCUACAAUAGACACACAGUUUGGGUGAUGAAGCUGAAACAGUAACUUUACUUCUCUUUUGAAUAUUUCACUUUCUACCCCUUUAUAUUUCCCCUUAAAUCGCCUCACUGCGACUGCGUAAUCAGAACCAUCAAUAUGCUGGAGACAACCUUUGUAUACUUUAACCCAUCCUCCUCGUGCAAUUAGUCUGUUAUUAUCAAAAUUGUUGGUUGAUUUCUGAAUAUCAGCAAGAGAAAAAUGACGACACACUCUUCUAUUACUGUUGGAUAUUGUCUUCCAGAUGAACUUGACUCACCAAAACAUUUCAGAAACAUGAUUACGUUUCUUGCCACUGAGAUUGAACUGAGUGUCUAUGUAGUACAUACACCCAUGGUUAUAUUUUAAAGCUUCUUUUUAGACACUGUAUUCGUAUUAAUUUGGAUCAAUAAUUUAAUUUAUUGAUCAACAUCAGAUAUAAUGAAUAUGGACAGCUUUUCUUCUUCAA